GUAGGUGAACCUGCGGAAGGAUCAUUAAUGAGUUGUCAUGGGGUUCGAUGCUGGCAGCCAAUUUUUGGAUGCAUGUGCUUGCCCUAACAAUCAUCUUCCAAACACCUGUGCACACUUUUGAGGGAGUCUUGAGUUGGUUGCCGCUCUUGGGUGAUUUUCUCACAUUCCCUUAAAUCAUUAUACGCUAUUAACAAUGUUGAACGUGCUCUGUGCCGCAAGGCUAUUAAUAUAAUACAACUUUUAACAACGGAUCUCUUGGCUCUCGCAUCGAUGAAGAACGCGGC
rnacentral:misc_RNA from 1 species